AUAUGUAUACGUAUGGUAUGCACUAAUUUUUAUGUUUUAUAAUUUAUUAGUAAUUUUUUUUUUUUUUUUUUCUAAUUUUGUAUAACCGCUUGUUGAUUUUUUUUUUUUUUUCGAAUAUCCUCCCCCCACCUCCCAAAAAAAAAAAGAAAAGCGUCUUGUGUGAAAAAGUGUUAUAUGUACAUGUGUUUAUAUAUAUAUUUGUAUAUUUGUAUAUUUGUAUAUUUUAUAAUUUUGUAGGAGGAAAAUGGAGUAGUAUAUGCGUGCGUUGCACAUAAUGAUGAUAAUGAUGAAAAUUUUGACAAAUGGAAUUUAUUUUAUAAGGAAGACUAUGAUAUAGAAAUAGAAGACGAAGAAGGUAAUAAGACAACGAAAACUAUCAACGAGGGACAGGUUUUGUUGAAUGUCUUUGUAGAUGGCAAUGCACCAGAUGGUGUUUGGCUAGGUGGUAAAAAAUAUCAAUUUAUUAAUAUAGAUAGAGAUGUAGAAUAUGAGGGUUAUGUAUUCGAUGUAGUUACUUGCGCAAAACUUAAGGGAGGUUUUCACAUGAUAAAAAUACCCGGUGGGAAUAUAUUAAUCGCAUUUUAUGACGAAGAGAAGGAACAAGAUAGAGGUACAUAAAAAAUAGUUGUAAUUGCAACAUACGAGCAUGCUAACAUACAGAUAUACGAACAUGCGUGUGUAUAUGUAUACAUACGCUAUAAUAUAUGUAUAUUAUAUUAUUACCCCUGUAAUCACCAUAUCAGAACUAACCAUUUUUAUUUUUGUUUUUUUUUGUCAAUUUUACCUGAACAUGUUCAUAUAUAUAUAUA
rnacentral:lncRNA from 1 species